UAUUUCUUUGUUGUUCUGCUUAUGUUUCUCUUUUUUUGCAAGUUCUUCGUGGUGACGGCAAGGGGGUCGAGUCAAUGACAAUGGGAGCCAUGCCCCUUGCCAUUUCGGUGAAAUGGUGGUAGAGGAGGCACACCUCGGGACGUGGGUGACUUCGAGAGGUGUGCCUGCUAAUGUGACAAAGGCGGCGGCUAGAGACUUAACGGAAUUAGGGUUUUCUGUUUUAGAUUUAGGAUAUUGGGCUAUUGUGCUUUGGGUUUUUUUGGGCUUUAGGGUUUUAGGUUAGCAGAUUGCGUCUUGGGUUAUUGGGCUUGUAUAUUUGGAUUUUUUUGUAACUGGAUUGUUAUUUAAUGGACUUUUUAUUUGUGUUUUAUUUUAUUUAUUUUGUUCUUUUUAGUUUUAUUUUAUUUGAGUCGGACGAAUUUGACCUGUUAUAGGCAGUUUGAAGAUUCGAUCAGAAUGUUUCAAGGAAUCAAUUCAAAAUUUGAUUCAUACUUAUUUAUGCGAUAAUUAAAAAUUUUGUAUAUUAAAUAUAUAUAAUUGUAGAAAUUAUAUUUUUAUAGAAAUAUAAGUG
rnacentral:lncRNA from 1 species